UACGUAGGGUGCGAGCGUUAAUCGGAAUUACUGGGCGUAAAGCGUGCGCAGGCGGUUUGUUAAGUCUGCUGUGAAAGCCCCUGGCUCAACCUGGGAAUGGCAGUGGAAACUGGCAAGCUGGAGUGUGGCAGAGGGGGGUGGAAUUCCGCGUGUAGCAGUGAAAGGCGUAGAGAUGCGGAGGAACACCGAUGGCGAAGGCAGCCCCCUGGGCCAACACUGACGCUCAGGCACGAAAGCGUGGGGAGCAAACAGG
rnacentral:rRNA from 1 species